rnacentral:tRNA from 1 species
CAGAGCAUAGCUAAAUAACGAAUAGCACCUCCCUUACACCGAGAAGAUACCCGUGCAACCCGGGUUGCCCUGA